CGUCCUCUUAAGUCUUCUAGUAGGAGUACUAUAUGGUUUACACAUCCUCGCUCAAGAUUACCAAGCCAUCACUGCACCGAAACUGCUGCGCCUACUUUUUAAACGAGACAUUAAUUCCACAAACAAUUACACUCCAACAGUAAGAUGGAAGAGAAUAUUAAAAUACGAUCCACUACAAUGUGCCCGGUACCUCUAUUGUGAUCUUGGAGCUCGUUCAGCAGACAGUGACUUGCGACGAGGUUUAAUAUACAUGUUGGCCUUAGAAGUAAAGGAAGAGGACAAAAUAGCUCAGAAAGAAUUCGAAUCCGCAUACUCCAAGGGAAGAUCAAUACGCAAUAAUCCGGAACAUUGUAAAAAAAAAUAUUCAAUAUGUCCCUUCGAUGCUCCUUUAUUACUUGAUUUGGUAAAUUAUAUACUUAAAACAAAGAGUUGACGUCUAAGUGAUA